rnacentral:tRNA from 1 species
GGCGAGGUAGCUCAGCUGGUUAGAGCGACGGACUCAUAAUCCGUAGGUCGUGGGUUCGAGUCCCACUCUCGCUACCA